AUGUGCCCUUCCCCCACCCACAUUGUCCACUUUAGCUUACAGGGCACCACAGGGGGCCUUCCGGUUAACAUUUCCAGAAACGCUUUCUGUCUGCUUUCUAGGUGGAUACUGACAGGAGCCCAGCUGGGAGGCCGUCCUGCAGGGCUGGCGAGCUCUGGCACUCCCGGACCCAGAACCGACUUGGUCCCUUACAGCCAUGGUGGCUGUACUAACCACACUCGACUCCACCUUUGCACUAUGAAAAGCAAACAAGCAGACCGAAGAACUGUUUGCAUUUGCCCCAGAUGCUCCCUGGCUGCAGGAAGAGAUAAAGUUUGCUGACCCUGGAGAGGAAGUCCUGACCCAUGGCUGGCAGAUGGAAGCCUCAGACAUGAAGAUUUCUCAAAGGCACCUGCUGCUGAGAGUGAUUAAUAUACUUUUGCAGCUGAAGCCUGAUGAUGGCUGGAGGAUAAAGGACAUCACCCAGAUGACAUUUUGCCUCCAAAGGUCUGGGGACCAACUGUGGAAGAACUGCAGGGAUAUGAUGUUAGCAUGUUCUUGUAUCUGGACAGGAUGAGAACUGUCUUAUAACGUAAGUGCAGCCCCCGCAUCUGAGGGCAUGUUUCCUGUGUGUUUAGGCACUUCUAAAGCAGGGAGCACCUUCAUGGGCACUGGCCUUCCCAGAAACAGUGUUGGACCUGUGUUGAUGUCCUGGAGGGUGGGGACCUAGAAAAAGUCCUUAGCCUUCCUGUAAGGCACAAUUCUUCUCCCCUGCAGAGCCUUAAAUCCUCAAGCCAAGUAGUAAGCACUCUGCUCCAGUCUGUGGCUUCAGACACACACAAGACCUGGAGCAAAAUCAAAUAGAAUGUAUCACCACCACUGAGCCCCAGGACCCCCCAGAUGCUUCUGAACAUCAGAGGAGAAGCAGCUCUCGGAGAUCAGGGUGAAUGCAGUGUUAGGGUGCGGCAUUGCCUCUGGGUCCCUGCUUUGGUUUAAUUAAACUAAGUUUGGUGGUAAAUUGGUUCCCAAAUGUUCAUUGGUGGAUGGGCGGCAUCGGAAUUGUCUGAUCAUCUUUUGAAAAACACAUAUGCAAAACUCAUACGCAUGCAUGUCUUCCUCUGAGAGUUUGAUUUUCAGCAGACUUGGGGUGGAUUCCUACUUUUAAGAACUCCUCAUGCCCAUCCUAAGUGAUUGUGACUCCCAGAAAGUGAACGCUGACAAAUUGAACCUGACAUUUACUUAUGAAAUAAAUGGAUGUUUAUUUCACAGUCUUUCUAUGGACUCAAGAUGGUACUGAAUCCAUGGGCUCACCUGCCCCCCCAGCUUUCUGUGCAGAAUCUGCCAAUGUGCCUUAAAUCCUAAAAGCAGUCGCUUAUCAUGUGCCACUGGAGCUCUUGAUUGGCUGUGACUGAGAUGGGACUUUAAAUUCUCACCAGGAUGCGGCUGUACUGACUUCUGAACCCUGCUGAUCUGUCCUCAACCACGGGCUUGGUUUUCUUCUGAAGAGCAGUGUUUUUAAAACUGUGGUUGAAAUCUAUUCUUGGGCUAUAAAAUCAGUUGUUGAGGAUGCAAUCAUUUUGAAUUAAUUUUUAAUUCAAAAAAUUAAAUAGACGAAAAUUUUAAUUUUUAAUUGAAAAAUAGACUAGAAAAAAAUCAGAGUGCAUCACGUACAGUAGGGCUAAGUAGUCCUUUCUGUAAAGCUGGUUUUGAAGGGUGUGCUGUGCAUUGGGCUGUGUGUUUGUACCGUGUUUCACAGUGAAACUGCUGUCACCUCUGCAGUACAGUGUAAAUCAACAAAGGGCCAGGCUUACUUAAGGCAGCUGCCAUCUCUGCUUGCAGAGGACAGACGGAAAAAUCACCAGGGAGGGUAGACUGCUACAUGCAAGUACUUGAGGGAGGCUACCUGGAAACUCAUAGAAAACCAGUUUGUGGAUGAUUGCAGAGCCUGAGUGGAGAGAUCAGUCUCGGACAGUUUUAUGGAUGGCAGCCCAGAGUCCGCCACACACAGCCCACCGCACCUGUCACCUGGGAAUAAGCAGGGUCUCUUUGGAACUGACUCUGGCCAGGAUUUGGUUUCCCUUUCCUUGAAAUGGGGAUAAUCACCCUCUUGACUAUUGCUGUUAUGAGGAAGGCCAAAUUAGGGGAAAAGAAUUCUGUCUUAUAAAGGAUGAACCACAAAGCUCAGGCUAGUAAUGGCCUCUCUUGGUGGUUUGGGAUGUGUGCUUUUAUAGGCAGUAAGGGAGAAAGAGAAAUUCUGCACUCAAAUCAAGUCUAGGCAAUGUAGGAGCUGGAAAGAGGUGUAUGGGAGCACAGACCCAGUCACCUGAAGGCAAGGAGCCUUUCUUCUUCCCCUUCUUGGCAGGCAACGUGGGCUCCCGGGCCCCAAGCAGGAUCCCUGAGGGCCAAUCUCUUAUCACACACUGAUCUGACUCAGUGACCUAGAAGAGGAUAGUCAGAGCCAAUGGGUUGAGGGGACAGGCUUGGAGAGCAUCUACUGUGUGCCUCUUUCGGGUAACUGGAAAUGUCUCCUGCCACUUUGUGAGGGGCUGGGCGCUGGGGAGUGGGAGCAGCAGGGGAGCACAGGGUGAUAGACUGUUCCCAGGGCUGUUGAUUUUGGAGCAGUCUAGGUGCCUUCUCUUCUUAGUGGGAAAGGAAGAAAAGGAGGGAAGGGAUGCUUUUCGAGGGGAACUCAAAAGCGUGGAGAAAAGAAUGCCCUAAAGAGCACCACCAAAGGACCUGAAGUGAAAGAUUCCAAUGAACAAAAUGUCCCCUAAUUCAAACAGUGCCACUAGCGACAAAACCUGUGAAGCUGUCCAGAGAGGCUCUGGCCAUGUCUGUCACUUCCCUUUUUACAGCUCUCACGAAGUUAGUGAAUGAAAAAGAUGAAGAUUAAUAAAAACAAAAGCAUGCUUCACGUUGCAGGCUGACCACGUCUCAUCCUCCAGUGACCCUGUGGCUGUCUCUGUAACGUCCUUUGGCAAUAGCAUGCUUUGAGAAGCUGUGGGGAAGGCUGGCCAGGGAGGGGACCCCACCCCUCAUUCUGCCAGCUGAUGCCCCAGAGGGCUGCAGGGCUCCUGCUUUACCCAGAGCUCUGGAGUGGCUGAGGCUGGGCCCUGGGGGUGGAUGGUUCUCGCUGAGAGGCAGGGGACAUCUGCUCAGUGCUAAGCUCCAAGGCAGACCACAGAGCAGAUAAGGACUAGUUGAAC
ensembl:lncRNA